rnacentral:rRNA from 1 species
UACGGGGGAGCAAGCGUUGUUCGGAUUUACUGGGCGUAAAGGGCGCGUAGGCGGCCACCGCAAGUCGGUUGUGAAAUCCCGGCUCAACCUGGGAACUGCAUCUGUGACUGCAUAGCUAGAGUACGGUAGAGGGGAUGGAAUUCCGCGUGUAGCAGUGAAAUGCGUAGAUAUGCGGAGGAACACCGAUGGCGAAGGCAAUCCCGUGGACCUGUACUGACGCUCAUGCACGAAAGGCGUGGG